UACGUAGGGGGCAAGCGUUGUCCGGAAUCAUUGGGCGUAAAGAGCGUGUAGGCGGCCCGAUAAGUCCGCUGUGAAAGUCGAGGGCUCAACCUCGAAUGCCGGCGGAUACUGUCGGGCUAGAGUCCGGAAGAGGCGAGUGGAAUUCCUGGUGUAGCGGUGAAAUGCGCAGAUAUCAGGAGGAACACCGGUGGCGAAGGCGGGUCUCUGGGCAGUAACUGACGCUGAGGAGCGAAAGCGUGGGGAGCGAACAGG
rnacentral:rRNA from 1 species